rnacentral:lncRNA from 1 species
CUCAAGUCGCGCGCGGGAUAAGGAUCACUCUCUGUGCGCCGUGUGUGCGUGUGUGUCCGCUCGUCUAAACUGUGCUGGCUUUAUUAGUCAGCGGAUUGGGUCCGCCAUUAUCCUCAAAAAGUUGCACUGAACCGGUCAAGUGACUCUGCAGAUGUAAAAGAGGGGAAUUCACCGCUUGAAAACACCGAAGUAAAAUCGAUGAAUCGAGUGAUUGAAAAAUUCUAAAAUUCAACACAAUACUCUUCAAAGGAUAAACUAUUGAACCUAAGCCAAAAGUAAAUCUAUACACUCAAGAAUAUAAAAUUAGGACUAAUCAAAUACGUCGAGUAAGACAGUGAUUGCUACCUUAAUUAAGAGAAACGAAAAUUUCGCUGGAAUAUGUUUCUCAGCUCACGUAUGGCGGAAGUAAUUAAAUAUGGGUUCUGCGUUCUCGAAUUAUUCGUGAGACUAACCACAGAAUUUGAUUGUACUUCUGCAACACAUUCCUGAUUAAUUAAACUUGAAGAAAAAAUUUGUUAUCAAUACCACAGGAUAUGUACUUUAUCAUAAGAUACGGUAUAAAGAAGCCACGAGACUACAACAAUGCAAACAAAACUUAAUUUAUAUUUUCCAUAAAUAUAACUACGACUGUAAAAAUUUAAAUGACAUUCAAAUUCAUAAGUAAUUGCUUUUAAUAUUUGUAGUCAAGGUCGUAUAAGGGGUCGAGUAAUUGAAACAAUUCUGUCAAUUAAAAAGAACUGCAUAUUUUAUCGACUAAAUGAGCGUUAGACUACAUAGAUCGGCCACAAAAUUUAUUACGAUGACGCAAUGCUUCAACCUAUUAAUCGGUUUUGCAAAUAGUGGGUAGGAUUCACUAAAUUGACUUAACGAAGUUUCAUUUGCUAAAUAGCAGCUAUUAAGCUUUUACGGGGGCCUAUAUAUAAGUUGCAAAUUAAACAACAAUACAUUUUGCAUAUAUAUUGUAUGCGAUUGAGAAAAAGAGAUCAAAGGUUUUGACCUAAUUACAUUGAACUUAUUUUUGCAUUUUGAGUAAAUUAAAUUCUUUUCUUUAGGAAUUAUAAUUUUAAAUAUUCCAGUUUUGAAUAAGUGACUUUUUUGAAAAAGACCAAUUCUUCAUGAUUUUAAUGUGAUAAAUCACACGAUGAAUUCUUUAUAGUUAAAACACUUUUUUUUACUUCAGGUUUUGUACUCCGUGACACUAAGCCUGUCAAUACGUUAAAUUUCAACGCUGAUUUAGAGAUAAUUAAGGUGUGACUAUUCACAAACAAGGUGUUAAGAUUCGAGAUCAAGAGCGUCAAACCUGCUUAUUUAAUCAAGAUGUAAUAGUAAAAAUAGCACUAACUCUAUGUAAACUUCUCGGUAUAAGGCUGUUGAUUCACCGUACUAGAAAACCAAUGAUAUGUAUAGUACAGCCUAUGUAUAGUAUAUCUAUCAAAGUUUGCGCGUACAAAAAAAAAUCAUCCCGACGUUCUUAGAAUCCUUUCCUGUAGCUUCCUCUUUUUUAUGUAUGACAAUGUCAAAAGAGAUAAUUUAACUUUGAAAACCGAGUUUCCUGCUUUUAAAAAUGAAACAAUUCAAUUUAUAUCUUUUAUUGUCACAUUACAACCGAAAUGGAUUAAUCAAUAAAUCAUUUUCAUGAUAAAAACAAGGCAUACGAAUAUCAAUAAAUGUUCUUCAAUAUAUUGUUUGGCAAUAAAAAGCAUGAAAAAUAUAUUUUUUUAAUCAGCACAAGAAUAUUUAAACUAGAAAAGCUGAACUCAA